AUUGAACGCUGGCGGCAGGCCUAACACAUGCAAGUCGAGCGAGCGGCGGACGGGUGAGUAAUGUCUGGGAAACUGCCUGAUGGAGGGGGAUAACUACUGGAAACGGUAGCUAAUACCCCAUACCAUCAGAUGUGUCCAGAUGGGAUUAGCUAGUAGGUGGGGUAACGGCUCACCUAGGCGACGAUCCCUAGCUGGUCUGAGAGGAUGACCAGCCACCCUGGAACUGGGACACGGUCCAGACUCCUACGGGAGGCAGCAGUGGGGAAUAUUGAACAAUGGGCGCAAGCCUGAGGCAGCCAUGCCGCGUGUGUGAAGAAGGCCUUCGGGUUGUAAAGCACUUUCAGCGGGGAGGCGUAACCCGCAGAAGAAGCACGGGCUAACUCCGUGCCAGCGGCCGCGGAAAUA
rnacentral:rRNA from 1 species